CCUACGGGAGGCAGCAGUGGGGAAUAUUGGGUAAUGGGCGAAAGCCUGACCCAGCAACGCCGCGUGAAGGAAGAAGGCUUUCGGGUUGUAAACUUCUUUUGACAGGGAAGAGCAGAAGACGGUACCUGUCGAAUAAGCCACGGCUAACUACGUGCCAGCAGCCGCGGUAAUACGUAGGGGGCUAGCGUUGUCCGGAAUUACUGGGCGUAAAGGGAGUGUAGACGGCUUGUCAAGUUAAGUGUGAAAGCCUGCGGCUUAACCGCAGAAUUGCACUUAAAACUGACUCGCUUGAGUGCAGGAGAGGUGAGUGGAAUUCCUAGUGUAGCGGUGGAAUGCGUAGAUAUUAGGAGGAACACCAGAGGCGAAGGCGGAUCACUGGACUGUAACUGACGGUGAGGCGCGAAAGCGUGGGGAGCAAACAGGAUUAGAUACCCGAGUAGUC
rnacentral:rRNA from 1 species